rnacentral:rRNA from 1 species
AUGGCGCCCUCCAAGCUCACCCUCUUCCUCGCCCUGAGCCUGGUGCUCGUGGGAACCUCGCACGGUUGCGGAUCGUGCGGCAACACGCCGUCCGUGCCAGUCCCAACGCCGCCGAUCGCCGUGCCCCCGCCGGCCCUCCCAGUACCAACCCCGCCGGUCGCCGUGCCCCCGCCGGCCGUCCCAGUACCAACCCCUGGUGGCGGCGGUACCUGCUCGAUCAACACGUUGAAGUUGAGCGCGUGCGCCAACAUACUGAACCUGCUGGAGCUCAACCUCGGCGUGCCGGCGAGCGAGCAGUGCUGCCCGCUCCUGAGGGGCCUCGCCGACCUGGACGCCGCCGUGUGCCUCUGCACCGCCAUCAAGGCCAACGUUCUGGGCAUCAAGGUCAACGUCCCCGUCGACCUCGUGCUGCUUCUCAACCAGUGCGGCAAGACCUGCCCCGCCGACUUCACCUGCCCUAGCUAA